GACGAACGCUGGCGGCGUGCUUAACACAUGCAAGUCGAGCGGAAAGGCCCUUCGGGGUACUCGAGCGGCGAACGGGUGAGUAACACGUGAGCAACCUGCCCCCGACUCUGGGAUAAGCCCGGGAAACUGGGUCUAAUACCGGAUACGACACGCCCCCGCAUGAGGUGCGUGUGGAAAGUCUUUUCGGUUGGGGAUGGGCUCGCGGCCUAUCAGCUUGUUGGUGGGGUAGUGGCCUACCAAGGCGACGACGGGUAGCCGGCCUGAGAGGGCGACCGGCCACACUGGGACUGAGACACGGCCCAGACUCCUACGGGAGGCAGCAGUGGGGAAUAUUGCGCAAUGGGCGGAAGCCUGACGCAGCGACGCCGCGUGGGGGAUGACGGCCUUCGGGUUGUAAACCUCUUUCAGCAGGGACGAAGUUGACGUGUACCUGCAGAAGAAGCGCCGGCUAACUACGUGCCAGCCGCCGCAGUAAGAC
rnacentral:rRNA from 1 species